GCACCACAAGAACGCGUGGAGCAUGUGGCUUAAUUUGACUCAACGCGGGAAAUCUUACCGGGUCCGGACACACUGAGGAUUGACAGGCAAUAUCUCAUGUUAACGGUAAGUUUACUUACCGCUUAACAUCAGUGUUAAAUAUGCUAGUCCUUUCAUGAUUAUGUGAUAGGUGGUGCAUGGCCGUUCUUAGUUCGUGGAGUGAUCUGUCUGCUUAAUUGCGUUUCACUAAGGGCCCAUAAAUUCAAGGUAUGUUAGCUCUCGUCGCUCUAUGGACCCCUUAACUCCAAUAUUCUUAUUGUGUUAAGCGCGUGUCUUUAUUUUAAGAGUUUUAAGACACUGCGCAUGCUGUUGGGCUCUGAAAGCAACAACGUGACCGCAACGUCUUGUUGCCUUAAACUAGCGUAUAUUGCAAUUUAUUGUAAUAUCGCUUACAGAGGCUAUUUAAAACUAGACGGACCGCUGUUUCUUUCUUAAACCAAAGGAAGGUUGCGG
rnacentral:rRNA from 1 species